rnacentral:rRNA from 1 species
GAUCAUGGCUCAGGACGAACGCUGGCGGCGUGCUUAACACAUGCAAGUCGAACGAAGAGCGACGGAAGCUUGCUUCUAUCAAUCUUAGUGGCGAACGGGUGAGUAACGCGUAAUCAACCUGCCCUUCAGAGGGGGACAACAGUUGGAAACGACUGCUAAUACCACAUACGAUCUAAUCUCGGCAUCGAGGAUGGAUGAAAGGUGGCCUCUACAUGUAAGCUAUCACUGAAGGG